rnacentral:rRNA from 1 species
AACGAACGCUGGCGGCAGGCUUAACACAUGCAAGUCGAACGCACCGCAAGGUGAGUGGCAGACGGGUGAGUAACACGUGGGGAUCUGCCCAAUGGUACGGAAUAGCUCCGGGAAACUGGAAUUAAUACCGUAUGAGCCCGGAAGGAGAACGAUUGAUAGCCUUUGGAUGAACCGGGGUGGGAUUAGCUAGUUGGUGUGGUAAAGGCGCACCAAGGCGACGAUCCGUAGCGAGUCUGAGAGGAUGACCAGCCACACUGGGACUGAGACACGGCCCAGACUCCUACGGGAGGCAGCAGUGGGGAAUAUUGGACAAUGGGCGCAAGCCUGAUCCAGCCAUGCCGCGUGAGUGAUGAAGGCCUUAGGGUUGUAAAGCUCUUUCGCCGACGAAGAUAAUGACGGUAGUCGGAGAAGAAGCCCCGGCUAACUUCGUGCCAGCAGCCGCCGUAAAAC